UAAAAACAUAGACCAAUGCAACAUCCCAGCAACCCAUAAUUAAACUAAAGAAAGAACUAAAGAAAAGAAACAUAUGAGUUUUUGGAUAACCAAAAUUUUAUGUGUAUGUGCCAGGCAGCCAUUUUAUAACCGACAAGUCAAUCAAUCACACGUCAAGAAGCGAUUGUAAACAAACAUUAUAGUAUGGCAUAUUUGUUUUAUUUUAUGUUAUCUUAGUGAGAGUGAAAGUUAUUUGUGUUUUUAUUUGGAAUUUCCAAUGCUUCCUUAAAGCAAAAAGGAAAUAAAAGAAAGAGAUGCAAGUGAGGAAGAGCCAAUAUUCACAGUGGAAAAAGGGGAACAUUUGAGGUAAUUGGAUUCCAAAUACGAACCAGGUACCCAUAUAAAGUUGUAUAAUGAUCUAAAAUACUAAAAGUAAAUAACUUAUUGAACAAAGAGAUUGGGAAAAAUUGUGUUGAAAACAACCCUCUCAUCUGAACUUACAACAGUAAGGAAAAGAGGUAAGAUUUUGUGAUGGUUCAAGAGCAAUGUAUCUAGAAGAGUCAGGCUUAAACUGAAACAUCAGUGAAAAAAAGAUGAUCUAGACUUGAAACAACCAAAGAAACACAGAUAAGAGGAACAUGAAAUUGGAAUUUCAAUUUUGAAACACCAAAAGCUAGUGAAAGAACUUCAGUAAAAUUGAAUAUCUCACAGUUUAUAUCAAAAUAUUCCUGUUAAAUAAAUUAUUUAUUUUGC